rnacentral:misc_RNA from 1 species
GACAGAGGUGCCAAGCGUUAUUCGGAAUUACUGGGCUUAAAGGGUGCGUAGGCGGUGUAGUAAGUGCGGUGUGAAAGCCCACGGCUCAACCGUGGAACUGCGCUGCAUACUGCUAUGCUAGAGGGAGACAGGGGUAAGCGGAACAGAUGGUGGAGCGGUGAAAUGCGUUGAUAUCAUCUGGAACACCAGUGGCGAAAGCGGCUUACUGGGUCUCUUCUGACGCUGAGGCACGAAAGCUAGGGUAGCGAACGGG